UUAGAGAACUCCAGACAUUGGCAUAGUAUAUAUAUAUAUUUUUAAUGGGCUCUAUUAGUCUCCCAGAGAGGGAGUAAAUAGGGGGUAUGGUUGGGAUGAUCUUGAGAUUAUGUUCAUACUAAUCCCCUCUCUGGUUGGCUCUGGUCAGGGGUGUACAUCUGCCCUAAUUCUUUUUCCCUUUGGAAGCCCCUGAGGUUCAGCAUAGUGUUGGCAUAGGAAGGAGUUCAAGGUCAGAAUUUCUUCCCCGUUUGGAAGUCUUUAAGGUUCAGCAAGGUGUUGGCAUGGAGAAGAGCUCAAGGUCACAAUUCUUUGCCUCUUCGGAAGCCCUUGUGGUUCAGCAUGGUGUUGGCAUGGGGAAGAGUUCAAGGUCACAAUUCUUUUCUCCUUUGGAAGCUCUUAAGGUUCCGCAUGGUGUUGGCAUAAGGGAAAGGUCAAGGUCGGGAUUCUUUUUCCCCUUUGGAAGCUCCUAUUAAGGUUCAGCGUGAUGUUGGCAUGGGGAAGAGUUCAAGGUCAGAAUUCUUUUCUCCUUUGGAAGCUCUUAUUAAAGUUCAGUGUGGUGUUGUCAUGGGGAAGAGUUCAAAGUCAGAAUUUUUUUCUCCUUUGGAAGCUCUUAAAGUUCAACAUGGUGUCUGCAUGGGGAAGAGUUCAAGGUCAGAAUUCUUUUCUCCUUUGGAAGCUCCUAAGUUUCAACGUGGUGUUUGCAUGGGGAAGAGUCCAAGGUCAGAAUUCUUUGCCUCUUGUGGUUCAACAUGGUGAAGAGUUCAAAGUUAGAAUUCUUUUCUCCUUUGGAAGCUCUUAUUAAGGUUCAGCAUGGUGUUGUCAUGGAGAAGAGUUCAAAGUCAGAAUUUUUUUCUCCUUUGGAAGUCCUUGUGGUUCAGCAUGGUGUUUGCAUAAGGAAAAGGUCAAGGUCGGGAUUCUUUCUCCCCUUUGGAAGCUCUUAUUAAGGUUCAGCAUGGUGUUGGCAUGGGGAAGAGCUCAAGGUCACAGUUCUUUGUCUCUUUGGAAGCCCUUAUGGUUCAGCAUGGUGUUGGCAUGGGGAAGAGUUCAAGGUCAGAAUUCUUUUCUCCUUUGGAAGCUCUUAAGGUUCAGCGUGGUGUUGGCAUGGGGAAGAGUUCAAGGUCAGAAUUUUUUUCUCCUUUGGAAGCUCUUAAGGUUCGGCAUGGUGUUGGCAUGGGGAAGAGUUCAAGGUCAGAAUUCUUUUCUCCUUUGGAAGCCCUUAAGGUUCAGCCUGGUGUUGUCGUGGGGAAGAGUUCAAAGUCAGAAUUUUUUUCUCCUUUGAAAGCUCUUAAGAUUCAACAUGGUGUUGGCAUAAGGAAAAGGUCAAGGUCAGCAUUGUUUUUUCCCUUUGGAAGCUCUUGAGGUUUAGCAUAGUGUUCGCAUGAGAAAGAGUUCAAGGUCAGAUUCUUUUCCCCUUUGGGAGCCCUUGAGGUUCAGCAUAGUGUUGGCAUAGGAAGGAGUUCAAGGUCAGAAUUUCUUUCCCCUUUGGAAGUCUUUAUGAUUCAGCAUGGUGUUGGCAUGGAGAAGAGCUAAAGGUCACAAUUCUUUACCUCUUUGGAAGCUUCUGUGGUUCAGCAUGGUGUUGGCAUGGGGAAGAGUUCAAAGUCAGAAUUUCUUUCUCCUUUGGAAGUCCUUGUGGUUCAGCAUGGUGUUUGCAUGGGGAAGAGUUCAAGGUACUGGAAACUGGAGAACUUCCAUCAGCAGAGGACAACAAUUUACAGUUGCUCACCAUUUUAGAAGUCACCUCUAAGAACUUGGUGACUGCCAACAAGUACCUGCUGUUCCUUAGCAGACUGAAAGUCGAGCUUCGCUUUGUGGCUGCCAAUGGGAGGGACAGAAAAAAAGACAGACAAAAGGAGGGACUGAGAAACAAAGCAUGCUUUCUCCCCUCCAAAUAGAGGUUUUCUUCCCUGUUUGGCAAGGAAUUGGGAGGUAAAGUGGCUGAGGCUGUGAUGACUGACAUAGCCCUUGAUACAUGUUUGUCAUUGCUGUUAUUCAUUCAUAACUUUGGAAUCAUUCCAACUACUGACUCCAGAAAGUUGGCUGGAAUGUUU
rnacentral:lncRNA from 1 species